rnacentral:rRNA from 1 species
GAUGAACGCUGGCGGCGUGCUUAACACAUGCAAGUCGAACGGAAAGGCUCCUGCUUGCAGGGGUACUCGAGUGGCGAACGGGUGAGUAACACGUGGGUGAUCUGCCCUGCACUUCGGGAUAAGCCUGGGAAACUGGGUCUAAUACCGGAUAGGAGGAUGUGUUGGAUGCUAUUGUGGAAAGUUUUUCGGUGUUGGAGGAGAUCGCGGCCUAUCAGCCUGUUGGUUGGGUAGUGGCGUACCAACGCGUCGACGGGUAGCCGGCCUGAGAGGGUGUACGGCCACAUUGGGACUGAGAUACGGCCCAGACUCCUACGGGAGGCAGCAGUGGGGAAUAUUGCACAAUGGGCGCAAGCCUGAUGCAGCGACGCCGCGUGGGGGAUGACGGCCUUCGGGUUGUAAACUCCUUUCGCCAGGGACGAAGCGCGAGUGACGGUACCUGGUGAAGAAGCACCGGCUAACUACGUG